GUCCGAGACGAUAUCUUCAGGGAGUCCGUAGAAGCGGAACACAUAACUGCACAGAGCCUCUGCUGUUUCUA